rnacentral:rRNA from 1 species
UGCAAGUCGAACGGUAACAGGAAGUGCUUGCACUUCGCUGACGAGUGGCGGACGGGUGAGUAAUACUUAGGGAUCUGCCUUUAGGAGGGGGAUAACCAUUGGAAACGAUGGCUAAUACCGCAUAAUGUCUACGGACCAAAGGGGGCUUCGGCUCUCACCUAGAGAGGAACCUAAGCGAGAUUAGCUAGUUGGUGGGGUAAAGGCUCACCAAGGCGACGAUCUCUAGCUGUUCUGAGAGGAAGAUCAGCCACACUGGGACUGAGACACGGCCCAGACUCCUACGGGAGGCAGCAGUGGGGAAUAUUGCACAAUGGGGGAAACCCUGAUGCAGCCAUGCCGCGUGUGUGAAGAAG